CCUAUUGGAACCCCGGCCCUGAUCGCCUAUAUUGGGGGUGUCCGGGUUCGCCCGGACUAUAGCGAUAAACGCGCUUGUAAUAAGCGGACCGGACCCGGGUGCGAUUCCCGGCGGCUCCACCACCUUCUUCCCCGCGUUAUCGGCGGAGGCAGCAUGGGGCCGACUAGCAUCGACGGACGUGUAAAGAAGAUUGCUUUCGCUCGUCCUGGCCCACCGUAUCGGGCCUUUAUCUAAAUGCGAACGAUAACUUCGCUGAGGAAUACGCUGUCGCCGCGUAAUGCGGUUCCGGCAUUUCCGACCUAAGUCCUGAGGGUUCAGAUCCUCAGGCGGGGCCCGGGAGGCGCCUGGCAACAGAAGCCUCCCACU
rnacentral:tmRNA from 2 species